rnacentral:rRNA from 1 species
AGCGAACGCUGGCGGCAGGCUUAACACAUGCAAGUCGAGCGGGCGUAGCAAUACGUCAGCGGCAGACGGGUGAGUAACGCGUGGGAACAUACCUUUUGGUUCGGAACAACACAGGGAAACUUGUGCUAAUACCGGAUAAGCCCUUACGGGGAAAGGAUUUAUCGCCGAAAGAUUGGCCCGCGUCUGAUUAGCUUGUUGGUGAGGUAAUGGCUCACCAAGGCGACGAUCAGUAGCUGGUCUGAGAGGAUGAUCAGCCACAUUGGGACUGAGACACGGCCCAAACUCCUACGGGAGGCAGCAGUGGGGGAAUAUUGGACAAUGGGCGCAAGCCUGAUCCAGCCAUGCCGCGUGAGUGAUGAAGGCCCUAGGGUU